rnacentral:rRNA from 1 species
CCUACGGGAGGCAGCAGUGAGGAAUAUUUGUCAAUGGACGAGAGUCUGAACCAGCCAAGUAGCGUGAAGGAUGACUGCCCUAUGGGUUGUAAACUUCUUUUAUAUGGUAAUAAAGUGUUCCGCGUGUGUGAUUUUGUAUGUACCAUAUGAAUAAGGAUCGGCUAACUCCGUUCACGCAGCCGCGGUAAUCCUGCGGAUCCUCGCGUUAUCCGGAUUGAUUGGGUUUAAAGGGUGCGCAGGCGGAGGUGCAAGUCAGCGGUCAAAUUGCGGGGCGCAACCCCUGACUGCCGUUGAAACUGCAUACCUGGAGUGCGCGAGAAGUAUGCGGAAUGCGGGGUGUAGCGGUGAAAUGCAUAGAUAUCACGCAGAACUCCGAUUGCGAAGGCAGCAUACCGGAGCGCAACUGACGCUCAUGCACGAAAGCGUGGGUAUCGAACAGGAUUAGAUACCCCAGUAGUC